UGGAGCAGCAUUUAUUUACAGCAAUUGCGAUACCUAUCAACGAGUAAGAUGUGUAAAAUCUAAGACAAUUUUCGUGCUUAGAAUUUGACAGGUAAACGAGAUGGCGCUGUACAGCUCCAUACAUUUUGCGGUAACUCUGAUUGUCAAAAGUUGACAUUUGACAAUUCAGUGACCGCAAAACAUAUGGCGCAGUACAGCGCCUUCUGUUUUCAAUCUCAAACUAAGGGGCACGUUUUGCUCUUAGACGUUACCUCUCUAUUACAAUUAAUUCUCUUUGCUAUUAAUGACGAAGCUCGACAUAAAGUAGCAGACCAGGUAUCAGUAUGCUGUUAUUGCAUUUGUUUUGUUGCGGGCGAAUAACGCGGAGGUUUACGGCGUGUUCAGUCAGAUAUAUGAAAGGAUUGUCAAUGGUCGGGUUUGUUUGGCGCGGUCGGCGGCUGAGUGGUGAAGUGGUAAUGUGGUAAAAGUGUAAUGAGAGGGUCGGUCGACUGGGCCCUGCGUGGCGCGAUGCGGCGCGGCCGGCGGGCAGCGGGGUGCGGGCGGGCGCGCGGAAGGAAUGCGUCGUUUUCGCAUCGGGAGAAACGAAUGCGUUUUAAGCGUCGCGGGUACACAAUGGCGGCGUGACGAGAUCCGGUUCGCGGGCGGCGCGGGUAAGAGGGCGGGGGCUCUAAUCGAUAGCCAGCGAGCGACGGCCGGGCGACUGCGGCGCAUAGGUGACAGCUCGGGCCCAAUCAAAUUACCGGCCAUGGAAGAGAGUUGCAACGCUAUGCCACGCACGGCGGAGGACAAGCCGCGGCGCUGCAGCGGCGCGUCCGUCGCCCGGGAACUUCGGGCCGCCCUCGCGCGCCCAGACACCUCGCUACGCAGGAGGUGUCUGCGACCUUGACGGCAGCGCCGCCGCCGGUCACAGGGGACUCGGCCGCGGCCGGGGGCGCCGGGCGCGCUUGAGGAGUCCGGGUGGGGCCACACUGCGAACCACGUGUACGAUUAGGUACCACAACCUUUGUUGCUAGCUUCGUGUUGCCUUAUGAACUUCCGUGAAUAUGACAUAAUAAUGAGUAAUGACACUAUUUAGAGUUGUUUUGUAAAAUGGGUUAUAUUUAUUCUGAAUAAAUGAUUUAUUUAUUUUUUAUUU